rnacentral:rRNA from 1 species
AUUGAACGCUGGCGGCAGGCCUAACACAUGCAAGUCGGGCGAGCGGAGGACGGGUGAGCAAUGUAUGGGGAUCUGGUUUAUGGAGGGGUCUAACUGGUGAAAACGGUGGCAAAUCGCGCAAACCAUCCUAUGCACUCAUAUGGGAUUAUCUUGUAGGUAAGGUAACGGCGUACCUAGGCGACGAUCCCUAGCUGGUCUGAGAGGAUGAUCAGCCACACUGGGACUGAGACACGGCCCAGACUCCUACGGGAGGCAGCAGUGGGGAAUAUUGCACAAUGGGCGCAAGCCUGAUGCAGCCAUGCCGCGUGUAUGAAGAAGGCCUUCGGGUUGUAAAGUACUUUCAGUCGGGAGGCGUUACCGACAGAAGAAGCACCGGCUAACUCCGUGCCAGCAGCCGCGGUAAUAC